GCGCGAGCCUGGACACGAUUAGUGCCCAGUCUUUCUUCUUACUCUCCGAAAAAAAUGGCGUCGAAAAUUCCCAUUUUGCGAAGCAUUUCUGCCGCUUCUUUGCUUCGUAAAAGCUCAAAGGUGCGUUAAAAUAUAUUUAUGAUAAUCUGGGAUAUCGUUCUGUGUCUAGGGCAUUUCAAAUUGGUCUAAAACUGUGUUUUUGUUCACUUUUUCCAGGCCACCCUUGCGCGGUGUUUUGGCACUUCAGCAGCUUAUCAAGAG
rnacentral:lncRNA from 1 species